rnacentral:rRNA from 1 species
CGGACGGGUGAGUAAUGUCUGGGAAACUGCCCGAUGGAGGGGGAUAACUAUGGAAACGGUAGCUAAUACCGCAUAACGUCGCAAGACCAAAGAGGGGACCUUCGGGCCUCUUGCCAUCGGAUGUGCCCAGAUGGGAUUAGCUAGUAGGUGGGGUAACGGCUCACCUAGGCGACGAUCCCUAGCUGGUCUGAGAGGAUGACCAGCCACACUGGAACUGAGACACGGUCCAG